UGAAGCUGCCAGCAUGAUCUAA
rnacentral:ncRNA from 4 species